CCACAGGCAAGACAUGAAUACAGCAACAAUGCAACACUGCAAGGAUGCUAUCUCUUCCAAUUCAAUUCCUGAUUUCCGAAGAGGAUCAAUUGGGCGAUGCUUUACAUUGGAUUAGGCAAGUUAUAGGCCUUGUAUGUGGGUUGCUGUGGGGUGCUGCCCCUUUCGUUGGAGCUAUAUGGAUUGUCAUAUUGACAUGGAUACAAUUGAAGUGAGUAACCUAAAUAGACAAUUUUUGUUUAGACAAUCUCAUGUUGGGCAAUCUAAAAAGUUGCUUGAGAAGCUGUCUUAAGAUUUAGGCCUCACAUAAGUAUUAAAGCCUACCAUGCAAAUGUCAAGGAUCCUGGGUUCAAUGUGGAGUUCUUUAAGCAAUUCAAUGUUGUUUUGAAUGGUCUUGACAACUUGGAUGCAAGGAGAUGUGUGAAUCGCCUUUGCUUGGCCGUUGAGGUUCCUUUAGUUGAAAGUGGAACAACUGGGUUGUUAGGGCAGGGAGAAGAGGCAGUCCCAAAGAAAGGAGACUUCCUUUUGUAUUUUGCAUCCAUGGGGACUUGCUUGAGCUCUCGAAUCAAGGCAGAGAGUCCAUCUCACAUAGGUAUUAAUGAACUGAGCUUUCAUAUUUUUCCCACUAUUGCUUGCAUUUUUUUU